CGCACAGAUCUCUUGUAUUCUCUCUCUUCUAUGAACACACAGAACAGACACUCACCACCGGCGGCCAUCCUCAAAACAUAAGGAUUUGGGCAAACCCGCAUUUAUACAAAAUGACAUAUAUACCCUUACAUAAGAGAACCUUAAUGCUGACACGGUAUGGAUCAACUUCCAUACACCACCAUCUUCUUCCUCGGCUGCUGCCUCACCAUGCUGCUUCCUCAACCCCACCGCAGCAUCAACACCACUGCCCAUUACUCCUCCUCGUGACUUUCUCAUUCUGCUGAAAUGAGUCUCGCUCAAAACCCUCUCACUCGAAACCCGUUAGGGCAGUCGUUCUUCCCCUUCUUGUUUCCUCUUCUCAGCCGCACCAGCAUACCCAUGUCCUCACCUCAGCAGCGUAGACAGCUUUCUCCCUCAAGCCUCAACCGCAGCACCCGGUAGUCGAUAGCGAGCUCUCAUCUCAUCUUCACCAGCUGGCUUCGAUAUUUCAGACAUUACACUUCAUGCACUCCAUUGCUUCACAUUCAGAUUGAAGGGCCAUCCUCUGUCUUUGCUUAUAGCAACUCAAAUUCCAAAGGUUAUAUCCAAACAGAAGUUUUGUCUCAAGACAUGGUUCAGCUUGUCAUGGAGAAGUGGCUUGAAAUGCGGCUGGAGGGCACGGUCUGGUCUUGCUUGUAUUUUGCAGGAGCACUCGCAUCGUUCCCACAUCACAAAAGAGAACCUUAAUGCUGACACCAUUUCUCUGUUAACUCUGGUUUGAGCUGCUGGACUGUUGUUUGCCAGCAGAUAUUUUGUUCAUUCUUACACAUAUAUUAACGGUUUUUUUUUAUAUCAGCUUUAAUAAAUUUGGAGGUCAACUCCAGCAGAGGAAAAAGGCA